CAGUCGUACGCACUGGCCCAACUGAUUGAUGGUGCUUGCACCUGAUUGACGUUGGAUCACCAGUGAGUGGCGGACGGGUGAGUAACACGUAGGUAACCUGCCCCGGAGCGGGGGAUAACAUUUGGAAACAGAUGCUAAUACCGCAUAACAACAAAAGCCACAUGGCUUUUGUUUGAAAGAUGGCUUUGGCUAUCACUCUGGGAUGGACCUGCGGUGCAUUAGCUAGUUGGUAAGGUAACGGCUUACCAAGGCGAUGAUGCAUAGCCGAGUUGAGAGACUGAUCGGCCACAAUGGAACUGAGACACGGUCCAUACUCCUACGGGAGGCAGCAGUAGGGAAUCUUCCACAAUGGGCGCAAGCCUGAUGGAGCAACACCGCGUGAGUGAAGAAGGGUUUCGGCUCGUAAAGCUCUGUUGUUGGAGAAGAACGUGCGUGAGAGUAACUGUUCACGCAGUGACGGUAUCUAACCAGAAAGCCACGGCUAACUACGUGCCAGCAGCCGCGGUAAUACGUAGGUGGCAAGCGUUAUCCGGAUUUAUUGGGCGUAAAGGGAACGCAGGCGGUCUUUUAAGUCUGAUGUGAAAGCCUUCGGCUUAACCGGAGUAGUGCAUUGGAAACUGGGAGACUUGAGUGCAGAAGAGGAGAGUGGAACUCCAUGUGUAGCGGUGAAAUGCGUAGAUAUAUGGAAGAACACCAGUGGCGAAAGCGGCUCUCUGGUCUGUAACUGACGCUGAGGUUCGAAAGCGUGGGUAGCAAACAGGAUUAGAUACCCUGGUAGU
rnacentral:rRNA from 1 species